rnacentral:rRNA from 1 species
UCGGGAAUUUUGGGCAAUGGGGGCAACCCUGACCCAGCAACGCCGCGUGAGGGAUGAAGGCCUUCGGGUCGUAAACCUCUGUCGGGAGGGAAGAACGUCAUCCGGGUGAACAAUCCGGGAGGCUGACGGUACCUCCAAAGGAAGCACCGGCUAACUCCGUGCCAGCAGCCGCGGUAAUACGGAGGGUGCGAGCGUUGUUCGGAAUCAUUGGGCGUAAAGCGCGUGUAGGCGGCCUGGUCAGUCGGGUGUGAAAGCCCGGGGCCCAACCCCGGAAAUGCAUUCGAAACUGCCUCGCUAGAGUCCCGGAGAGGAAGGCGGAAUUCCCGGUGUAGAGGUGAAAUUCGUAGAUAUCGGGAGGAACACCAGCGGCGAAGGCGGCCUUCUGGACGGUGACUGACGCUGAGACGCGAAAGCGUGGGGAGCAAACAGGAUUAGAUACCCCCGUAGUCC